rnacentral:rRNA from 1 species
UACAGAGGGUGCAAGCGUUAAUCGGAAUUACUGGGCGUAAAGGGCGCGUAGGCGGAUAAUUAAGUUAGAUGUGAAAUCCCUGGGCUUAACCUGGGAACUGCAUUUAAUACUGGUUGUCUAGAGUAGAGUAGAGGGAAGUGGAAUUUCCGGUGUAGCGGUGAAAUGCGUAGAGAUCCGGAAGAACAUCGGUGGCGAAGGCGGUCUGCUGGGGUGAGGCUGACGCUGAGCGCGACAGCGUGGGGAGCAACAGG